AGAGUUUGAUCCUGGCUCAGGACGAACGCUGGCGGCGCGCCUAACACAUGCAAGUCGAACGAGCGAGAGAGAGCUUGCUUUCUCGAGCGAGUGGCGAACGGGUGAGUAACGCGUGAGGAACCUGCCUCAAAGAGGGGGACAACAGUUGGAAACGACUGCUAAUACCGCAUAAGCCCACGGGUCGGCAUCGACCAGAGGGAAAAGGAGCAAUCCGCUUUGAGAUGGCCUCGCGUCCGAUUAGCUAGUUGGUGAGGUAACGGCCCACCAAGGCGACGAUCGGUAGCCGGACUGAGAGGUUGAACGGCCACAUUGGGACUGAGACACGGCCCAGACUCCUACGGGAGGCAGCAGUGGGGAAUAUUGCACAAUGGGGGAAACCCUGAUGCAGCGACGCCGCGUGGAGGAAGAAGGUCUUCGGAUUGUAAACUCCUGUUGUUGGGGAAGAUAAUGACGGUACCCAACAAGGAAGUGACGGCUAACUACGUGCCAGCAGCCGCGGUAAAACGUAGGUCACAAGCGUUGUCCGGAAUUACUGGGUGUAAAGGGAGCGCAGGCGGGAAGACAAGUUGGAAGUGAAAUCCAUGGGCUCAACCCAUGAACUGCUUUCAAAACUGUUUUUCUUGAGUAGUGCAGAGGUAGGCGGAAUUCCCGGUGUAGCGGUGGAAUGCGUAGAUAUCGGGAGGAACACCAGUGGCGAAGGCGGCCUACUGGGCACCAACUGACGCUGAGGCUCGAAAGUGUGGGUAGCAAACAGGAUUAGAUACCCUGGUAGUCCACACCGUAAACGAUGAUUACUAGGUGUUGGAGGAUUGACCCCUUCAGUGCCGCAGUUAACACAAUAAGUAAUCCACCUGGGGAGUACGACCGCAAGGUUGAAACUCAAAGGAAUUGACGGGGGCCCGCACAAGCAGUGGAGUAU
rnacentral:rRNA from 2 species